GACGAACGCUGGCGGCGUGCUUAACACAUGCAAGUCGAACGAUGAAGCUAGAGCUUGCUCUGGUGGAUUAGUGGCGAACGGGUGAGUAACACGUGAGUAACCUGCCCCGAACUCUGGGAUAACUGCUGGAGACGGUAGCUAAUACUGGAUACGACCAACGAAGGCAUCUUCUGUUGGUGGAAAGAAUUUCGGUUCGGGAUGGACUCGCGGCCUAUCAGCUUGUUGGUGAGGUAACGGCUCACCAAGGCGACGACGGGUAGCCGGCCUGAGAGGGUGAUCGGCCACACUGGGAAUGAGACACGGCCCAGACUCCUACGGGAGGCAGCAGUGGGGAAUAUUGCACAAUGGGCGCAAGCCUGAUGCAGCAACGCCGCGUGAGGGAUGACGGCCUUCGGGUUGUAAACCUCUUUUAGUAGGGAAGAAGCGAAAGUGACGGUACCUGCAGAAAAAGCACCGGCUAACUACGUGCCAGCCGCCGCAGUAA
rnacentral:rRNA from 1 species